UACGUAGGGUGCAAGCGUUAAUCGGAAUUACUGGGCGUAAAGCGUGCGCAGGCGGUUGUGCAAGACCGAUGUGAAAUCCCCGGGCUUAACCUGGGAAUGGUAUUGGUGACUGCACGGCUAGAGUGUGUCAGAGGGGGGUAGAAUUCCACGUGUAGCAGUGAAAUGCGUAGAGAUGUGGAGGAAUACCGAUGGCGAAGGCAGCCCCCUGGGAUAACACUGACGCUCAUGCACGAAAGCGUGGGGAGCAAACAGG
rnacentral:rRNA from 1 species